UACGUAGGGGGCAAGCGUUGUCCGGAAUCAUUGGGCGUAAAGAGCGCGUAGGCGGUCCGGUAAGUCCGCUCUGAAAGUCCGGGGCUCAACCCCGGGAGGCGGGCGGAUACUGCCGGGCUAGAGUCCGGAAGAGGCGAGUGGAAUUCCUGGUGUAGCGGUGAAAUGCGCAGAUAUCAGGAAGAACACCCGUGGCUAAGGCGGCUCUCUAGUACGGUACUGACGCUGAGACGCGAAAGCGUGGGGAGCGAACAGG
rnacentral:rRNA from 1 species